CACUGUGUAUAUUGCAUGUGUCAUCAGCAAAUUAUGACAACAUUGUCCUAAGGACAAGUCUCUAUAAAACAGAGCAGCACAUGAAUUGAAACCAGAACAAGAAACAUCUCAAGAAAUCUAAAGCAGCUAAAACUCCAGAGCAAAUAAAGAAUAAAGCAACCCUGAUCAAGAUGGGAAGUAGCAGAAAGGCCCCUUCUCAACGUCACACCAGAGUAAGGUACAGGACGACCUUGCCUCUCAGGAGGGUGGCGCAAAUACAGAGUACAGAGGCUAAAGGUCACGGAGGGAUGGUUGCCAAGGGCAGCCGAGUUGCUAGGCUACAGAGCCGUUUGGCUAAGUACACACUGGCCAAUCAGAAGAGAGUGUGUAAACUACGAAAUGGUUGCAGAUGCAGGAGGACUCCUAUGCGACCUGACGCAGUGGCGAGGAUAAUGAGAGCCACUUGCAAGAGGAACGGAGGGAUCGUACCGAAGAGGAGCUUUGCUGCCAGGGCUCAGAGAGCAGCUGCUAGGAACUGUCGUCUCACUAAAUAAACAAUCCAGACUAACAGCAACAGCUGAAAACUCAGUCAACUUUGUAGCUAUAAUUAUUAGCAGACAUUUUGUAGGUCUAGAAUAGCCCAAGACUAGAUAAUUGGAAACUAGAGAUUGCUAGUUCAGAAAUAAACGUACAAACUUGUAUUCAAAAGCAAUAGCCAAACCUUUCAUAGAGUUACAAUAUCAA